rnacentral:rRNA from 1 species
AGUGAACGCUGGCGGUAGGCCUAACACAUGCAAGUCGAACGGCAGCACAGUAAGAGCUUGCUCUUACGGGUGGCGAGUGGCGGGCGGGUGAGGAAUACAUCGGAAUCUACUUUUUCGUGGGGGAUAACGUAGGGAAACUUACGCUAAUACCGCAUACGACCUACGGGUGAAAGCAGGGGAUCUUCGGACCUUGCGCGAUUGAAUGAGCCGAUGUCGGAUUAGUUAGUUGGCGGGGUAAAGGCCCACCAAGGCGACGAUCCGUAGCUGGUCUGAGAGGAUGAUCAGCCACACUGGAACUGAGACACGGUCCAGACUCCUACGGGAGGCAGCGGUGGGGAAUAUUGGACAAUGGGCGCAAGCCUAAUCCAGCCAUACCGCGUGAGUGAAGAAGGCGUUCGGGUGGUAAAGCCCUGUUGUUGGGAAAGAAAAGCAGCAGGUUAAUACCCCGCUGUUCUGACGGUACCCAAAGAAUAAGCACCGGCUAACUUCGUG